GUUAUGGUGGGGGCACCAAUACCUCAUGGUGAUUCCGUCUUCGCAAGAAGGGGAUAGAUCGACGCGUCAAGAAAUCGUUUCAUUUGCCACGCCUCCAGUAGGCAAUAUGAUUGUUGCUUGCGUACAG
rfam:Brachypodium distachyon strain Bd21 chromosome 1, whole genome shotgun sequence.